CACGUAGGGGGCAAGCGUUGUCCGGAUUUAUUGGGCGUAAAGAGCUCGUAGGCGGCUUAGUAAGUCGGGUGUGAAAGCUCCAGGCUCAACCUGGAGACGCCACCCGAUACUGCUGUGGCUAGAGUCCGGAAGAGGAGUGUGGAAUUCCUGGUGUAGCGGUGAAAUGCGCAGAUAUCAGGAGGAACACCGGCGGCGAAGGCGGGUCUCUGGGCCGUAACUGACGCUGAGGAGCGAAAGCGUGGGGAGCGAACAGG
rnacentral:rRNA from 1 species